rnacentral:rRNA from 1 species
CAAAUGAAUUGACGGGGAGCACCACAACAGGUGGAGCCUGCGGUUUAAUCGGACUCAACGCCGGGAAACUCACCAGAUAAGACAGCUGAAUGAUAGUCGGGCUGAAGACUCUACCUGACUAGCUGAGAGGAGGUGCAUGGCCGUCGUCAGUUCGUACUGUGAAGCAUCCUGUUAAGUCAGGCAACGAGCGAGACCCACGCCCACAGUUGCCAGCGUACUCUCCGGAGUGACGGGUACACUGUGGGGACCGCCGCUGCUAAAGCGGAGGAGGGAAUGGGCAACGGUAGGUCAGUAUGCCCCGAAUAUCCCGGGCUACACGCGAGCUACAAUGGUUGGUACAAUGGGUAUCUACCCCGAAAGGGGACGGGAAUCUCCUAAAACCAAUCUUAGUUCGGAUUGAGGGCUGCAACUCGCCCUCAUGAAGCUGGAAUCCGUAGUAAUCGCGUUUCAACAGAACGCGGUGAAUACGUCCCUGCUCCUU